GAUGAAGAACGCAGCGAAAUGCGAUAAGUAGUGUGAAUUGCAGAUUUCAGUGAAUCAUCGAAUCUUUGAACGCACAUUGCGCCCGCUAGUAUUCUGGCGGGCAUGCCUGUUCGAGCGUCAUUUCAACCAUCAAGCCCUAGGCUUGCGUUGGAGCCCUGCGGCUGCCGCAGGCUCCCAAAUCCAGUGGCGGGCUCGUCGUCGUACCGAGUGCAGUAAACAUCCUCGCUCAGGGAACGUGACGGGUUCUUGCCGUGAAACCCCCCACAUAUCAAGGUUGACCUCGGAUCAGGUAGGAAUACCCGCUGAACUUAAGCAUAUCAAUAAGCGGAGGA
rnacentral:misc_RNA from 1 species